rnacentral:rRNA from 1 species
GACGAACGCUGGCGGCGUGCUUAACACAUGCAAGUCGAACGCUGAACCCUGUGCUUGCACGGGGGGAUGAGUGGCGAACGGGUGAGUAACACGUGAGUAACCUGCCCUUCACUCUGGGAUAACCUCGGGAAAUCGGGGCUAAUACCGGAUAUGAGUUCCUGCCGCAUGGUGGGUGCUGGAAAGUUUUUCGGUGGAGGAUGGACUCGCGGCCUAUCAGUUUGUUGGUGAGGUAAUGGCUCACCAAGGCGAUGACGGGUAGCCGGCCUGAGAGGGCGACCGGCCACACUGGGACUGAGACACGGCCCAGACUCCUACGGGAGGCAGCAGUGGGGAAUAUUGCACAAUGGGCGAAAGCCUGAUGCAGCGACGCCGCGUGAGGGAUGACGGCCUUCGGGUUGUAAACCUCUUUCAGUAGGGAAGAAGCGAGAGUGACGGUACCUGCAGAAGAAGCGCCGGCUAACUACGUGCCAGCAGCCGCCGUAAAAC